GGGACUUCCUGUUCUCUUCCCGAGCCGCAGUGGAAGUGCGUACUUAGGGCUGUGGGUGGCGGAAGCCUGGGUGCUUAGCUGGGUGCGUUUGUAGCUGCUCAGCUGGGAAGAUGCCGGGUCUGGCGGCCGCGAGUCCUGCCCCGCCCGAGGCUCCCGAGAAGAAGCCGCUGAAGCCCUGCUGCGCCUGUCCCGAGACCAAGAAGGCGCGCGAUGCGUGCAUCAUUGAAAAAGGAGAAGAACACUGUGGACAUCUAAUAGAGGCCCACAAGGAGUGCAUGAGAGCCCUAGGAUUUAAGAUCUGACACGGAUUCGGGUGAGCCAGGAUGGACAGUUUCUGCACUACAUCUUUCCAUACCAGUUCCUGGACUCUCCCGAAUGGGAAUCACUGCAGCCUUCUGAGGAGGGCACCUUCCAGAUUCUAGAACUCCUUCUCAGAACUCCUCUCACGUUACAUCCAAAGGACAGGCCCCUUUGGCUCCAGUUCAUACUCCUGAACUUUAAGCAUCACUGGACUGUUGUCUCUGCUACAGGAUGGCUCUCUUCUGUGUUCACUGGAUGACUCACUUGUGUGCAUAUCCCUUUUCUCACCCACCAGGAAGCUCCAGGACAAGGUGGGAAUUGACAUGAACUGACAGCAACACAGCAGCCCCAAGAGUGCUGUGGAGCAACCCACCUUCAUGAAAUUCACAGAAGGGGUCCAGAGGCGCCAGGCCUGACUUCAUGCUUUCCGGGUUGUAGGACCAUGGCAGGUUGUGGAGCCUCUGAGCCUUAUCUGUCAAGUGGGGGUAUAACCCACCUCACAGGCUUGUUGUGAAGAUCCAGUGAGUUGAUUUAGGAGAAUCACCUAUCACAUGGUGUGGCACCUAGCAAGCACUCAAUAAAUUGCUCAGCUCCUC